CUGCUCACUCUCUAAGAGGAUCGAUCGUUUCAUGCAUGCAAUACUAACCCACUCUCUUACAGUGAAGAUCGUUUAUGGGUUUUGGAUUUGGAGUUGAAUCGCUUCAAUUUCGUCUUCGAUGUGAAAACGGGCCCCAGUUUUGCUGAUGCUGCCAUGGGAAGAAUUGCACAAGGAACUAAGGUUUUAGCUGAAGGCGAUUAUGAGAAGAUCUUUCGUCAAACUUUUGAGACUGUUCCGGAGGAGCUACUUCAGAAUUCACAUGCAUGUUACUUGUCAACAUCAGCUGGUCCAGUCAUGGGAAUCUUAUAUGUAUCUACAACAAAGCUUGCAUUUUGUAGUGACAAUCCUCUUUCUUAUAAAGAUGGCGAUCAGACUGAAUGGAGCUACUACAAGUUAUAUAUCCUCAAGCCCUACUAGCAUAUGCAGUUUUAAUCAAAAUGAUUGUUGUGUGAAAGAAUAUGUGUAACUGUGAGAUUUGUUUAUUUGUUCAUUUCAAACUCGAUGAGGUUCAUUGCAGUCAUUAGUGAUGGUUCAUUUCUAUUGUUGAUUCAUAA